rnacentral:rRNA from 1 species
GACAGAGGGUGCAAACGUUGUUCGGAAUUACUGGGCGUAAAGCGCGUGUAGGCGGCUGUGCAAGUCGGGUGUGAAAGCCCUGGGCUCAACCUAGGAAGUGCACUCGAAACUGCAGAGCUUGAGUUCUGGAGAGGAAGGCGGAAUUCUCGGUGUAGAGGUGAGAUUCGUAGAUAUCGAGAGGAACACCGGUGGCGAAGGCGGCCUUCUGGACAGCAACUGACGCUGAGACGCGAAAGCGUGGGGAGCGAACCGG